UCUACAUUUUUGUGCCAUUGUAUGUCACUU
rnacentral:piRNA from 1 species